rnacentral:tRNA from 1 species
GCCUGGGUGGCUCAGUCGGUUGAGCGUCCGACUUCGGCUCGGGUCAUGAUCUCACGGUUUGUGGGUUCGAGCCCCGCGUCAGGCU